UUCGAGCAGGUGCAGACGCGGUGAUGUGGUCGGAGCGGAGGAACCAAAUUUUUGGGGCUAAUCUCGCAAGCUGUUUCUGUCAACAACCGACAGAGAUUAAGAGAAGGGCAACUCUCAGCCCUAGCCCGUCAGCUAACUCCGUAGGCAUUGAGAGGAGGCUGA
rnacentral:sRNA from 2 species